CCUACGGGAGGCAGCAGUGGGGAAUAUUGGACAAUGGGCGCAAGCCUGAUCCAGCAAUGCCGCGUGUGUGAAGAAGGCCUGCGGGUUGUAAAGCACUUUCGGUUGGGAAGAAGUUUGGCUUGUUAAUAUCAAACCAAAUUGACAUUACCUUCAGAAGAAGCACCGGCUAGCUCCGUGCCAGCAGCCGCGGUAAUACGGAGGGUGCGAGCGUUAAUCGGAAUUACUGGGCGUAAAGCGCGCGUAGGUGGUUGGGUAAGUCGGAUGUGAAAGCCCUGGGCUUAACCUAGGAACGGCACUCGAUACUGCCCGACUAGAGUAUGGUAGAGGAAAGCGGAAUUCCCGGUGUAGCGGUGAAAUGCGUAGAUAUCGGGAGGAACAUCAGUGGCGAAGGCGGCUUUCUGGACCAAUACUGACACUGAGGCGCGAAAGCGUGGGUAGCAAACAGGAUUAGAUACCCUGGUAGUCCACGCCCUAAACGAUGUCAACUAGCCGUUAGGUUCAUUUAAGAGCUUAGUGGCGCAGCUAACGCGAUAAGUUGACCGCCUGGGGAGGACGGCCGCGAGUAAACGUACGAAUAGAGUAGACGGCGUAGACGUGCCGACGGACGACGACGAGGGAGGAGG
rnacentral:rRNA from 1 species